rnacentral:rRNA from 1 species
GACGAACGCUGGCGGCGUGCCUAAUACAUGCAGGUAGAACGCUGAAGGAGGAGCUUGCUUCUCUGGAUGAGUUGCGAACGGGUGAGUAACGCGUAGGUAACCUGCCUGGUAGCGGGGGAUAACUAUUGGAAACGACAGCUAAUACCGCAUAAGAGUAGAUGUUGCAUGACAUUUGCUUAAAAGGUGCAAUUGCAUCACUACCAGAUGGACCUGCGUUGUAUUAGCUAGUUGGUGGGGUAACGGCUCACCAAGGCGACGAUACAUAGCCGACCUGAGAGGGUGAUCGGCCACACUGGGACUGAGACACGGCCCAGACUCCUACGGGAGGCAGCAGUAGGGAAUCUUCGGCAAUGGACGGAAGUCUGACCGAGCAACGCCGCGUGAGUGAAGAAGGUUUUCGGAUCGUAAAGCUCUGUUGUAAGAGAAGAACGAGUGUGAGAGUGGAAAGUUCACACUGUGACGGUAUCUUACCAGAAAGGGACGGCUAACUACGU